rnacentral:rRNA from 1 species
AUUGAACGCUGGCGGCAUGCUUUACACAUGCAAGUCGAACGGUAACAUAAGAAAGCUUGCUUUCUUGAUGACGAGUGGCGAACGGGUGAGUAAUACAUCGGAACGUACCCUGUAGUGGGGGAUAACUACUCGAAAGAGUGGCUAAUACCGCAUACAACCUGAGGGUAAAAGUGGGGGACCGCAAGGCCUCACGCUAUAGGAGCGGCCGAUGGAAGAUUAGGUAGUUGGUGGGUAAAGGCCUACCAAGCCGACGAUCUUUAGCGGGUCUGAGAGGACGAUCCGCCACACUGGGACUGAGACACGGCCCAGACUCCUACGGGAGGCAGCAGUGGGGAAUUUUGGACAAUGGGCGAAAGCCUGAUCCAGCAAUGCCGCGUGAGUGAAGAAGGCCU